UACGUAGGUGGCAAGCGUUGUUCGGAAUUAUUGGGCGUAAAGGGCGCGUAGGCGGUUUGCUAAGUCAGUUGUGAAAGCCCGGGGCUCAACCCCGGAGGGUCGGCUGAUACUGGUGGACUAGAGUACGGAAGAGGUAGCUGGAAUUCCCGGUGUAGCGGUGAAAUGCGUAGAUAUCGGCAGGAACACCCAGGGGGAAACCAGUGGACUGGGCAUGUGCUGACGCUCAGGUGCGAAAGCGUGGGGAGCGAACCGG
rnacentral:rRNA from 1 species